rnacentral:rRNA from 1 species
GGGUCAGUAGGUCGGUCGUGCCACCGGUACGUACUGGUCUCACUGAUUCCUCCUUCCUGAAGAACCGUAAUGCCAUUAAUUUGGUGUUGCGGGGAAACAGGACUGUUACUUUGAAAAAAUUAGAGUGUUUAAAGCAAGCUAACGCUUGAAUACAUUAGCAUGGCAUAAUGAAAUAGGACGAUCGAUCCUAUUUUGUUGGUUUCUAGGAUUGACGUA